UUAAAAAUCAUAAAAACACUUUUUAUUAAUAUAAUUUUUCAUACUCGUACGUGACAGUUUAUUCGUUAAUCCACUUAACAAUUUUCGAUUUUGACGUUCCAUCGUCUCAGUGUCCUCUGCCCGUAGUAGGCUACAUUGAAUCAUUGUUCUGUGUCUUACGUAUAGAUCUAUCCAAAAUGGCAGAAUUUUGGUUGGCCGCGUAGCAAAAACGUUGGGAGAAACGACUGCGAUAAUCUUACAUCCAUUAUUUGGCUGUGUAUAAACGUAAUAGUAUAUUAUACGUAAAUAGAGUCUGUUUGCAGAUGGCAGUCAUCCAGUGGCCAUCGUUGCCAGUUCUACGGAAAUCUGCUUAACGCAAAUCCUGUUUGCCAAGUGGACCAAGUCGACCAAAUCCUUUUGUCCGGUGGAACGUUACAGACCGGUGGCCAAGCAGAAAAUCAUAAAUAUCGUUUCUCUGCAUCUGUGUUUGGAUACGUGCAAGGUAGGUCUUCAUUUCCUGGACGAAGACGCCAACGACGAGUUCUGUUGGUCGCUCAGGACCAAAACCCGUACCACCCUUUAUUCCCUCUUCAACACCGUCAAGGAAUUGUGGGAGAAACAAUUCGGAAUCGAACUGAUAUGCACCGAGGAUUGUAAAUACAAUUCGGAAACGACGAAGGAAGAAGCGGCGACGAAAUUUGUAUUAUAAAACUUUGUAUUAAAUACACGAAAGUAAUUUAAUAACCACCGUAACAGGGAUUGUAACCCGGAAUGAAUAAAGUUUCCUCCUUUUGUACUUA